GAUGAAGAACGUAGCGAAAUGCGAUAAGUAAUGUGAAUUGCAGAAUUCAGUGAAUCAUCGAAUCUUUGAACGCACAUUGCACCCGCCAGUAUUCUGGCGGGCAUGCCUGUUCGAGCGUCAUUACAACCCUCAGGCCCCCGGGCCUGGCGUUGGGGAUCGGCGGAGCCCCCCGUGGGCACACGCCGUCCCCCAAAUGCAGUGGCGGUCCCGCCGCAGCUUCCAUCGCGUAGUAGCUAACACCUCGCGACUGGAGAGCGGCGCGGCCACGCCGUAAAACACCCAACUCUUCUGAAGUUGACCUCGAAUCAGGUAGGAAUACCCGCUGAACUUAAGCAUAUCAUAAGCGGAGGA
rnacentral:misc_RNA from 1 species